AGGUCAUCUAGUCCAACUUCCC
rnacentral:miRNA from 1 species